UCAGGAUGAACGCUGGCGGCGUGCAUAACACAUCAAGUCGAACGGCGAGAUACCUCGGGUAUUGAGCAGUGGCGGACGGGUGAGUAACGCGUGAGCAACCUGCCGUAUAGUGGGGGAUAACACAGGGAAACUUGUGCUAAUACCGCAUAAAGCAUGGGGAUCGCAUGGUUUUCAUGCCAAAGAUUUAUUGCUGUACGAUGGGCUCGCGUAUGAUUAGACAGUUGGCGGGGUAACGGCCCACCAAAUCAACGAUCAUUAGCCGAACUGAGAGGUUGAACGGCCACAUUGGAACUGAGAGACGGUCCAGACUCCUACGGGAGGCAGCAGUGGGGAAUAUUGGGCAAUGGGCGGAAGCCUGAACCCCAGCGACGCCGCGUGAGGGAAGAAGGUCUUCGGAUUGUAAACCUCUUUCAGCAGGGAAGAAGGAAGUGACGGUACCUGCAGAAGAAGUCACGGCUAACUACGUGCCAGCCGCCGC
rnacentral:rRNA from 1 species